UGCAAAUGCCUUCAAAUGUUCAGCUACAAAAGAUAUCACAGCUGCUGAAUUCUGACUUCAAGCUUUCAAACACCUUCACCUUCAUAAAGAAAGUCUUCAAGCAAGCGACACCCUGAAAUACUGAUGUGCUAUUCUAACUUCCGUCUUGCCCACUUAAUCUCAGUGACUCAUCACGUGCAGAUCCUGCUGCUUAACAACCUCUAAGACUCAAUACCUGAGCAACUGGCUUCAAGUAUCAUUGCAAGUCACCCUACUGGGCAAUGAUGGCCAUUGUCUCUCACAUCUCUGCCUGCCACUGUUGUUCCUCCCUGAAUGCGUGUGGGUGAAGUCCCUGAUUGCUGACACCACCGGGUCUUCUCCUGUGUGGGCCUGACUUGGUUUGCAGCCCUCCUCUGAGUGCCAGCUGCCUGAAGUGUUUCUUCCUCAUUCAGCUGCAGAACUGUCUCCAUGAAGUCCUCACCAGACUG